rnacentral:misc_RNA from 1 species
GAUGAGGAACGUAGCGAAAUGCGAUAAGUAAUGUGAAUUGCAGAAUUCAGUGAAUCAUCGAAUCUUUGAACGCACAUUGCGCCCGCCAGUAUUCUGGCGGGCAUGCCUGUUCGAGCGUCAUUACAACCCUCAGGCCCCCGGGCCUGGCGUUGGGGAUCGGCGGAGCCCCCCGUGGGCACACGCCGUCCCCCAAAUACAGUGGCGGUCCCGCCGCAGCUUCCAUCGCGUAGUAGCUAACACCUCGCGACUGGAGAGCGGCGCGGCCACGCCGUAAAACACCCAACUCUUCUGAAGUUGACCUCGAAUCAGGUAGGAAUACCCGCUGAACUUAAGCAUAUCAAUAAGCGGAGGA